rnacentral:rRNA from 1 species
AACAAACGCUGGCGGCGUGCCUAAUACAUGCAAGUCGAACGGGGUAGCAAUACCUAGUGGCGCACGGGUGAGGAACGCGUGGAUAAUCUGCCUUAGAGUGGGGGAUAACUAGUCGAAAGAUUAGCUAAUACCGCAUAAGACCACAGGAGCUGCAGCUCUAGGGGUCAAAGGUUUUUCGCUCUAAGAUGAGUCCGCGUAAGAUUAGCUAGUUGGUGAGGUAACGGCUCACCAAGGCGACGAUCUUUAACUGGUCUGAGAGGAUGAUCAGUCUCACUGGAACUGAGACACGGUCCAGACUCCUACGGGAGGCAGCAGUAGGGAAUAUUGCACAAUGGAGGAAACUCUGAUGCAGCGACGCCGCGUGAGUGAUGAAGGCCUUCGGGUCGUAAAGCUCUGUCGCAGGGGAAUAACACAAUGAAUGUACCCUGUAAGAAAGGAUCGGCUAACUUCGUGCCAGCCGCCGCAGUAAGAC